GAUGAACGCUAGCGGGAGGCUUAACACAUGCAAGUCGAGGGGCAUCACGAGGUAGCAAUACUUUGGUGGCGACCGGCGCACGGGUGAGUAACACGUAUGCAACCUACCCUGUACAGGGGGAUAACCCGGAGAAAUUCGGACUAAUAUCCCAUACAAUUAUUGGAGGGCAUCCUUUGAUAAUUAAAGCUCAGGCGGUAUAGGAUGGGCAUGCGGAACAUUAGCUAGUUGGUAGGGUAACGGCCUACCAAGGCUACGAUGUUUAGGGGACCUGAGAGGGUUAUCCCCCACACUGGUACUGAGACACGGACCAGACUCCUACGGGAGGCAGCAGUGAGGAAUAUUGGUCAAUGGGCGCAAGCCUGAACCAGCCAUCCCGCGUGAAGGAUGAAGGUCUUAUGGAUUGUAAACUUCUUUUGCAAGGGAAUAAAGUGGGGACGUGUCCUCCUUUGCAUGUACCUUGCGAAUAAGGAUCGGCUAACUCCGUG
rnacentral:rRNA from 1 species